CACCGGCGCUGGGAAGUCUGGGGGACCUUCCUCCUCUGCCAAGGUGACUCCCCCUGGCGGGAGGCCCGAACAGCUCUAGGAAGCCUCAACAUGCAGACAGGAGCAUGAAUUCAUCCUCAAUUUAAAGGUGAUGCCAGGUGUGGUGGCGCUUGCCAUAAUCCCAGCUACUCAGGAGACCAAGGUGGGAGGAUCGCUUGAGCCCAGGAGGUCAAGACUACAGUGAGCCACAAUCACGCUACUGCACUUUAGCCUGGGUGACAGGAGGAGACCCUGUCUCUAAUAAAUAAGUAAA
rnacentral:lncRNA from 1 species